rnacentral:rRNA from 1 species
CGAGUCGCAUUUGGUUUUAUCAUGCACGUCGACGGAAGCCAAAGGAAGCUUGCUCUCUGGGUGGCGAGUGGCGGACCUGAGAAGAAUACAUCCGACUCUACUUUUUCGUGGGGGAUAACCUAGGGAAACUUACGCUAUUACCGCAAACGACCUAUGGGUGAAAGCAGGGGAUCUUCCGACCUUGCGCGAUUGAACUAGCCGAUGUCGGAUUAGCUAAUUGGCGGGGUAAAGGCCCACCAACGCGACAAUCCGAAGCUGGUCUGACAGGAUGAUCAGCCACACUGGAACUGAGACACGGUCCCGACGCCUACGGGAGGCAGCGGUGGGGAAUUUUGGACAUUGGCCCCAAGCCUGAUCCUCCCAUACCGCGUGGGUGAAGAAGGCCUUCAGGUUGUAAAGCCCUUUAGUUGGGAAAGAAAGGCAGCUGGCUAAUACCCGGUUGGGAUGACGGUACCCAAAGAACCAGCUCCGACUCCCAUUCGUGCCAACAGCCAAAGUACUACCAAGGG